GAAUUCACCCCACCAGUGCAGGCUGCCUAUCAGAAAGUGGUGGCUGGUGUGGCUAAUGCCCUGGCCCACAAGUAUCACUAAGCUCGCUUUCUUGCUGUCCAAUUUCUAUUAAAGGUUCCUUUGUUCCCUAAGUCCAACUACUAAACUGGGGGAUAUUAUGAAGGGCCUUGAGCAUCUGGAUUCUGCCUAAUAAAAAACAUUUAUUUUCAUUG
rnacentral:lncRNA from 1 species